rnacentral:rRNA from 1 species
UACGGGGGGGGCAAGCGUUGUUCGGAAUUACUGGGCGUAAAGGGCUCGUAGGCGGCCAACUAAGUCAGACGUGAAAUCCCUCGGCUUAACCGGGGAACUGCGUCUGAUACUGGAUGGCUUGAGUGUGGGAGAGGGAUGCGGAAUUCCAGGUGUAGCGGUGAAAUGCGUAGAUAUCUGGAGGAACACCGAUGGCGAAGGCAGCCCCCUGGGUUAACACUGACGCUCAUGCACGAAAGCGUGGGGAGCAAACAGG